GGGCCAUAGCUCAGUGGCAGAGCAUCUGCCUUCCAUGCAGAUGGUCCCAGGUUCAAUCCCCGGCAGCUCCA